rnacentral:rRNA from 1 species
GACGAACGCUGGCGGCGUGCUUAACACAUGCAAGUCGAACGGUAAGGCCCUUCGGGGUACACGAGUGGCGAACGGGUGAGUAACACGUGGGUGAUCUGCCCUGCACUUCGGGAUAAGCCUGGGAAACUGGGUCUAAUACCGGAUAGGACCACUGCCUGCAUGGGUGGUGGUGGAAAGCUUUUGCGGUGUGGGAUGGGCCCGCGGCCUAUCAGCUUGUUGGUAGGGUGAUGGCCUACCAAGGCGACGACGGGUAGCCGGCCUGAGAGGGUGACCGGCCACACUGGGACUGAGAUACGGCCCAGGCUCCUACGGGAGGCAGCAGUGGGGAAUAUUGCACAAUGGGCGCAAGCCUGAUGCAGCGACGCCGCGUGAGGGAUGACGGCCUUCGGGUUGUAAACCUCUUUCAGCACCGACGAAGCGCAAGUGACGGUAGGUGCAGAAGAAGGACCGGCCAACUACGUGCCAGCAGCCGCGGUAA